AAUACAAAAAUAAAUAGAUCGAUAUUAAUAAAUCAAGUAAUUUAGUAUAUAAGCUGUAACCGAAUCAUAGUUUAGACCUUGACUUGACUACGGAUUCUCUCCCUCAUGGACGCCGGCUGCUGAGGUCGACGUGUUCCUCUGCUGCUGAUCGAGGUACUACUAUCCUGGUGCCGGUCCCAAGUCCGGCUAAAUGGAGAUUAUUUCAAAAGCGCCAUCGGGCAGAAAACCUGCACCAAAUCCAGUGCAGUUCAUCGAUCAAAGCUUCAUACCAGAUGGAUCAAGAAUACCCAGCACUGUUGGCCUGGGACGUGCCGGCAGAAACCACACUGCCGAGCACACGAGACGUGGCCAGAGGCAGUGGGAAGGCACUGUCAGGAGUGUGCAGUGGUGAAUCCUGAUCUGGUUUCAAGGCUUGAGAUUGUGAUCUUCACCUAAGAAAGUGUCCGUCUUGAAGGCUGUUGGAAGCUAAAGAUUAUGGUAGCCAAGGGAAGAAGCAGAUGCCAAGAAUAGAGAAAGCUGCAAGUAAACCAUGCUGAGAGGAUGUCCUGAGAAUAGAGAAAGAAGUAACUGUUCAGGGAUGCAACCUUAAUAUUCGCAUUUGAAUGAAGGUUAACUGCAAGAUGCUUGAUGCUACAGUAUUGCUGUAGAAUGUGUAGAUUGACUGCUGUUGCGGCCCUAAGUUACAUGGUCUCUCCUGUGUGGUACAAGCACUUUUUUUGUGCUAGUCUGCUGUUGGGGGGGCACCUGUGGAUACCCUGAUGUCCUAUGGUACUGCCAAAAGCUUCAAUGUGUUAGGAGGUAUACCAGUCAUGGGAAUGGAACUGCUAAUACAGAUGGUAAUGACCAGCAUUAGAAGAUGGAGUGGACAUGUUACAUCACUGUUCCAUGUGUCUGCAGCGUUUUUGUUGCAGUUUCUUCUAAACCUAGGACCGAUAAAACAAUUUGAGGUUUGCCCAUUUUAGAUGCUGGUAUUUCUUGGACGAUUUUGACUGCAAGAAAGACUCGUGCGUGUCCUUGGCCUGUAUUUACAUCUAUGGUUGAGGAAGUGUUAAUCCAAAAUAAAUGAAUAUAUAAUA
rnacentral:lncRNA from 1 species